rnacentral:rRNA from 1 species
AACGAACGCUGGCGGCAGGCUUAACACAUGCAAGUCGAACGAUGUAGCAAUACAUAGUGGCGCACGGGUGAGUAACGCGUGGGAAUAUACCUUGUAGUGGGGAAUAACUCCGGGAAACUGGAGAUAAUACCGCAUACGCCCGAGAGGGGAAAGAUUUAUCGCUAUAAGAUUAGCCCGCGUGAGAUUAGGUAGUUGGUGGGGUAAUGGCCUACCAAGCCUACGAUCUCUAGCUGGUCUGAGAGGAUGAUCAGCCACACUGGAACUGAGACACGGUCCAGACUCCUACGGGAGGCAGCAGUGGGGAAUAUUGGACAAUGGGCGAAAGCCUGAUCCAGCCAUGCCGCGUGAAUGAUGAAGGCCUUAGGGUUGUAAAGCUCUUUUGCCGGGGACGAUAAUGACGGUACCCGGAGAAUAAGUCCCGGCUAACUUCGUGCCAGCAGCCGCAGUAA